GGAGGUACUCAUGGCCAUCAGUGAAGAGGUAUAGUGCAGAUGUUGCCUAUCAUCUCCUGACGUCUUCUGAUCACAUUCUUUGUGAACAGUUCCUGCUCAACGAGGCUUUCCUGACAGAGGGAAAAGAGUGAAGUAAUAGGUGCAAGCCCGAGGGUUGCUACUAACCUGGGGUGUCCUGAUUAGGAAUGCAGUUCUUAAGCAAGGGCAUCCAUGGUCUUGUAUGUGGGGAGUGUGGAGGUGGGUGUAAAGAAUUCCAGUCUCCAGGGGCUGGGGAUCAGUGGUAGAGCACUUGUCUAGCAUGUGUGAGGCACUGGGUUCGAUUCUCAGCACCACAUAUAAAACAAAAAGGUCCAUCAAUAUCUAAUUAAAAAAAAAAAAAAAGAAUUCCAGUCUUCAAAUGGUGCCAAAACAGAAUUAGCAGAAGCACUUGGGUCCACACCCAUUAGAUCCUCACCAUUCUUUCAAAGUUACACCCCACUGUCUAUAUGCAAAUAAAACCAAAGGAUUGGUUGACACAUUUUUCAGACUAGUUUCCUACCAAAAAUGAAUUGAAUUAUAAAAAUCUGGAAGAUUUAUUUUUGCAGUUUAGAAAAAUAGUAACUCUCAGGACUUGGCAUAUCUUAAACUAUAAGCUUUCAGUGAACUGGGCUAGUCAAGUAAGCCAGAGGGGAAGAACACGGAUUCCCUAAUACCCAUUCCAAACAUGCACAGUUGGUUAACAGCAGCAUGUUUUUCUUAAUGCAUAAACUCACCACUACAGGAUGUUACAGUCUAUAAAUGUGCUAGAACACACAGGCCUCAAUGCUGUAAAAAGUGAUAAGGAAGGGAGGGAUUAUGAAUUAUUCAGUUACUGUAAUAAUUUUAAUUUUAUACAAGAUGCAAUAGGAAUGACGUCAAAUCUGGAGUUGUACUGUGUGUCACUGGUGCAGAAGCAGCACCAUCAAACUAAUAAAAGAACUUAGCUCCUGGACCAAGAUCUUAGCUGCUUUCAGCCAAGGAGGCAGAUCCCUGUGUGUGUGUGUGCGCCUGGACUGAGGAACAUUCCACGUGCUAUAUGAUUUUAGGGCCAACAGAAGCCCCAGGAACACAACUAAAAAUCAAACUGUACUUUUGACCCAUAGCCUGAUGCGUUCUAGGAUCUGUAAUUUCUUUUUUUUUUUUUUUUUAGGAUCUGUAAUUUUUUAACAUCAUACAAGUCAACAAUUUAGAUGAGCCAUUAAUAGGACAGUGCUUUUCAUUGUUGAAUUUCUAGAGAUGCCACUGGAAGUCCUCACUUGGGAGUGAGGCACACCUAACUCCAAACACAAUAAUAAUAGUAAAAGAAACCCAGGCUCUAAAACAAGAGGUACAUUUUUGAGGAUCAGAAACAAUUUAACGCUCAAAAGUGGUGAGUGGGUAUGAAGCUGCAGACCUUCCAUACCGCCCACAUCUGAACUGCUGCACACGAGGUUGGGUCCAUUGUCAAGACUGCUAGUUGGCAAGCCCUACGGUGGUGGUGGAGGUAUCUGCAAAUAUUUGGUAAUUGUUUUGUCUCUAGCAGCCUUUUAAAAUGUUUGAACGCCUCUUGUGAAGUUAGGCUGCUGUUCAGUUUCCCUGUUUCCUAUUUGCCGUGUUUGUUUUUGACUGAAGGGGGCCAUUUGAAUGUGCCCCUGCUUCCUUUCUGCAGAUGGGCAGCAAUCCCUUCACACAAUGGGGGACUCUGAUUGCUUACCAAACACAUUUCUGAACAGUGUGGACAUAUAUUGGGUGCUCAUGGUAGUUACUAAUUCAUCACAUUGAUUCUACUCUCAGUGACAUUGCACAACAUUCUUCUAUCAGUUUUCAUUCUCUGUUUCUUCAGAUUUUCAACUUGUUGGUUUCAACCCGAGAUCUGGCCUCUCAGGUAGAAAAGCAGAGGCAUAGAUGAAUUCAUUGUCUACCGUGCUGUCAAAACCAUUGAUUAUUGUUUCCACAUGACCAAAUGUCCCUUCAUAAUAGCUAGUAAAUUAUGCUGUACUUAAAAAAAAUUUUUUAGAUGUUGAUGGACCUUUAUUUUAUUCAUUUAUUUAUAUGUGGUGCUGAGAAUUAAACCCACACACUCAGUGCCUCAGACUUGCUAGGCAAGCGCUCAACCACUGAGCCACAACCCCAGCCCUAUAUCGUACUUCUUUCCUUCACAUUGUGUGCUGGGAGCCAUUAGCCAAGUAGGUAUGACAAUUUCCUUGCCAGCAUACCCCAUGUUGCAGUGACAUUGAAUGUAGGUGACCUUGCUCAAGGACCAAGGCGGAUUAGGGCGUUCCCGGUUUAGGUUCCAGGUUUAAGGUUUAAGAUUAUUCCUGCUAGGAAUAGGGCGGAUCCUGCUGCCUGAGUUCCCCUUGAGUUCUCACGGGAUUUAGACAGUAUUUUUUGAGAGAGAGAAGCCCAGUGGAGGUGGAUUUUGGGCAGAGAACGUGGAUUUGGGCAGAGAACGUGGAUUUCCCCAGAACGUGAUUGUAGACGGCUGGUGUGAGUUCGGGAAUAAAGAGUUGCUGUUUGAAUCUACAAGCUGUGUGGUGGCUCGUGAUUGUGUGCCCAGCCAGACUGCGGCAUUUGUGCCCAGCCAGAC
rnacentral:lncRNA from 1 species